CAAUUUUGAAGAUUACAGAAAACUCCAAAGAGAUUGAAGAGAUGGAAUAAAGGAUCCCAGCCCCCGAAAAGAGAAAGCUUUGUGUCUGUAGCCAUAGCCCUUGGCAAUCAGACAUCCUCCUCACUAAUGUGAGGUCAGGAGGGGACUAGAAGUGCUCAGAGGAUGGACUGCCUCUGGCCAGUGCAGGGGAGAGGCAGGGGUGUUGAGGCACAGGAGCCAGAUGAGAGGAACGUCAGCAGCAAAGCAGGUGGACAGCACGGAAGAGGCAGUACAUCUUAACAAAAUCAGGGUUCUGGAUGAAGGGAGGGGUGGUGAAUGGUUGCUGCAAUCAACAGUUCAUACUUCAAUGGAAAGAAGGUGGGAUUUGAUUCCUGGCUGCAAAUCUUCACUCUGUCACCUGCUAUCUGUGUGCCCUCAGUCUCCCAUCAAGGAGUGAUGUCUGUUUCUCCACUUCUUGAAUCUGGGCUGGCCUUGCCAAUAGCAUAUGGCAGAAGUGACAUCGUUCCAUUUCUGAGUCAAAGCCUGAGGAGGCCUUGCAUGCUUCUACUCUCUCUUGCAACCCUGCACUGCCACAUAUCAACAAGACUUAUCAACAAGCCUGGGAUAGCCUGCUAGAUGAUGAAAGAAAUAUGGCCCGCUUGCUCCCAUCACUCCAGCUGAUAGCCAGGCAACCCUAAGAAGCAAAGUCACCUAGCUGAUUAGUAGCUGACCACUGACACAAAAGUAAGAUCAUCUGAGACCAGAAGACAGCCCAUCUGAGCUCAGCCCAAAUUACUGACCCACAAAGUAAUAAUAAAUAAAUGGUUAUUAUUUUUAUGUCACUG
rnacentral:lncRNA from 1 species